rnacentral:rRNA from 1 species
UACGUAGGGUGCAAGCGUUAAUCGGAAUUACUGGGCGUAAAGCGCGCGUAGGCGGCUUUGCAAGUCGGGUGUGAAAUCCCCAGGCUUAACCUGGGAACUGCGUCGGAUACUGGAUGGCUUGAAUUCGGGAGAGGGAUGCAGAAUUCCAGGUGUAGCGGUGAAAUGCGUAGAUAUCUGGAGGAAUACCGGUGGCGAAGGCGGCAUCCUGGACCGACAUUGACGCUGAUGAGCGAAAGCUAGGGGAGCAAACGGG